GUAUGUCUGUUGUGAGUCAACACAGAGUCCCACAAUUUUUUGGGUGGAGCUUGAUGAGAAUGGAAACAUCAGCGGGAGGCCCUGUUUCCCCAAAUCUUAUUUUGUAAGAUCCUCAACAGUCAUAAUGGUUUUGUUUUACCUCACCGUUUUGACACUUCUUACAGAAAGUGUUUUUUCGAAUGCAAUAACACGCAUCUCUACUGAAAAUCAUGCUUUUGAAGGAGGAAAAGUGAAUAUUUCAUGCAACUACAGUGGAAAUGAUAUAAGAAGUUGGCAGUGGUACAGACAGUAUUCCAACUCUGCCCCUGAAUUUCUCUUACAAGCUUCGGAAACUCUGGGUCCAGAGCAGAAGGACCGUUAUGUUGCUGAAGCACAAAAGGACAAAAAACAUCUGAACCUGGAGAUCUCCAAAACUGAAGUGGCAGAUGCUGCAGUAUACUACUGUGCCCUGGUGCCCACAGUAACAGGAAACCCUUCAACACUGUACAAAAACCUGAGAGGGUGA